rnacentral:rRNA from 1 species
UAGGGAAUCUUCCGCAAUGGACGCAAGUCUGACGGAGCAACGCCGCGUGAGUGAAGAAGGAUUUCGGUUCGUAAAACUCUGUUGUUAGAGAAGAACAGCGCAUAGAGUAACUGUUAUGCGUGUGACGGUAUCUAACCAGAAAGCCACGGCUAACUACGUGCCAGCAGCCGCGGUAAUACGUAGGUGGCAAGCGUUGUCCGGAUUUAUUGGGCGUAAAGCGAGCGCAGGCGGUCAAUUAAGUCUGAUGUGAAAGCCCCCGGCUCAACCGGGGAGGGUCAUUGGAAACUGGUUGACUUGAGUGCAGAAGAGGAGAGUGGAAUUCCAUGUGUAGCGGUGAAAUGCGUAGAUAUAUGGAGGAACACCAGUGGCGAAGGCGACUCUCUGGUCUGUAACUGACGCUGAGGCUCGAAAGCGUGGGUGGCAAACAGG